UAUAAAAACAUUACAGGUGACUGUUUUUCACUAUAAAAGUUGCACAAAUCUACCGCAAAAUCUUGUUUGCAUACACACUUGUACAUAUGUAAUGGACCAAUCAGCAUUUGCAUGGCAAGGUCACUACGUUGUGUAAGUGACUGAAGAUCAAAGUACUGUAGCCGCUUCCUCUGAGUUACUUAUGUGACACCCAGCUUUUGACCAAAAGUUGCCUCUCAACAAAUCAGCCUCAUUCUUGUCAGUUAUGUUUGUUGCGGUUAAGUGUCACGUCACGUGAACAUCUUACAGUAUAAUGUAUCCAUAUUAUUUCUUAAGAAUUGAAGCACAGCGGGCUCAGAAAAUUCACCCAGUUUAAGGACUUUUCAAAGUCCUUGUUGAGGAUGGCAAAUCUGUCAUUAUGUCCUUUUCUUAAUACAUUUUGGAGAUACAGUUUCCAUAGUCUAGAUAAUGCAUGAUUGUUGCUUAAAAAAAAAUUGGAGCACUAUGUAAAAUAUUAGCACAGAUGUUAGCCUUGAUUUCAAAUUACAAGAAAUUCAGAAUUUUAGACUUAUACUUUCAUUAAAAACAUAUAAAGUAUACCUAUGAACUAUGAUGAUGUAAUUCUUUAACUGUCCAUUCAGAGUUUUUGCAACCUGUUAAUAGUUUUGCAAAUUAAUUUGCAUUAUGCCAAAUUUUAAUUAACGCUUCUGUCAAACUUGUGCAGUUUUAGUAAAUAAGACCUGAUAAAAAAUUUUCUGUAUAAAUACAGUCACACUGCUGGUAAAGGCGAGCACAGGGGUCCAUUUAGAAUCACCUACAUGGAGUACAAAUAGUGUCUUUCCCAUAUUUUUAAAGUGUAUGCAACAUUUAAAUAGGCUGGUUUAGAUCGAAGCUGGUUUAGAUCCACUAACUCGCCAGAAAACCUCUCAGCAUAUCCCAGUUCGUAAAAGGAAAAUGACCAUCUGAUUGAGUUUUUUAUGCUAUGCCCAAAACAUACCCCUGACGAAUUAAGUGACUACCCCCUUGCACCCUGUGCCCUUCUUUAUGUCAGAUUACGCACCAUAUAAAUAGCAAAGUGGAGCUGAAAACAUCCCAAAUGCAUUUGCACUAUGUGGUUUAGACCGUGCACCAUAACUCAUCAAGACACAAAUGUCUAAAUGUGAAAUUGGGGAACUUGUUUGCAUCUUCACUUGGACAAUGCAACUAAAUGGAUUUAUGAGAAGUUGUUUAUAAUAUGUACCGGUAACAUCAUGCUUUUGUCA